rnacentral:rRNA from 1 species
UACGAAGGGGGCUAGCGUUGUUCGGAAUUACUGGGCGUAAAGCGCGUGUAGGCGGGUCUUUAAGUCAGGGGUGAAAUGCCAAGGCUCAACCUUGGAACUGCCUUUGAUACUGGAGACCUUGAGUCCGGGAGAGGUGAGUGGAAUUGCGAGUGUAGAGGUGAAAUUCGUAGAUAUUCGCAAGAACACCAGUGGCGAAGGCGGCUCACUGGGCCGGAACUGACGCUGAGAUGCGAAAGCGUGGGGAGCAAACAGG